rnacentral:rRNA from 1 species
GAGUGCGGCGGCUACACAUGCAGUCGAGCGCUCUCUUCGGAGGGAGCGGCGGACGGGUGAGUAACACGUGGGAAUAUGCCCUUCUCUGCGGAAUAGCCUCGGGAAACUGAGAGUAAUACCGCAUACGCCCUUCGGGGGAAAGAUUUAUCGGAGAAGGAUUAGCCCGCGUUAGAUUAGGUAGUUGGUGGGGUAAUGGCCUACCAAGCCUACGAUCUAUAGCUGGUUUUAGAGGAUGAUCAGCCACACUGGGACUGAGACACGGCCCAGACUCCUACGGGAGGCAGCAGUGAGGAAUCUUAGACAAUGGGCGCAAGCCUGAUCUAGCCAUGCCGCGUGUGUGAUGAAGGCCUUAGGGUCGUAAAGCACUUUCGCCAGAGAUGAUAAUGACAGUAUCUGGUAAAGAAACCCCGGCUAACUCCGUGCCAGCAGCCGCGGUAAUACGGAGGGGGUUAGCGUUGUUCGGAAUUACUGGGCGUAAAGCGCACGUAGGCGGAUCAGAAAGUUGGGGGUGAAAUCCCGGGGCUCAACCCCGGAACUGCCUCCAAAACUCCUGGUCUUGAGUUCGAGAGAGGUGAGUGGAAUUCCGAGUGUAGAGGUGAAAUUCGUAGAUAUUCGGAGGAACACCAGUGGCGAAGGGCGGCUCACUGGCUCGAUACUGACGCUGAGGUGCGAAAGUGUGGGGAGCAAACAGGAUUAGAUACCCUGGUAGUCCACACCGUAAACGAUGAAUGCCAGUCGUCGGCAAGCAUGCUUGUCGGUGACACACCUAACGGAUUAAGC